UACGUAGGGUGCGAGCGUUAAUCGGAAUUACUGGGCGUAAAGCGUGCGCGGGCGGUUCGUCGUGUCUCGUGUGAAAGCCCCGGGCUCAACCUGGGAAUGGCAUGGGAAACUGGCGAACUGGAGUGUGGCAGAGGGGGGUGGAAUUCCGCGUGUAGCAGUGAAAUGCGUAGAGAUGCGGAGGAACACCGAUGGCGAAGGCAGCCCCCUGGGCUGACACUGACGCUCAGGCACGAAAGCGUGGGGAGCAAACAGG
rnacentral:rRNA from 1 species